GCACGCCUGUCGGGACCCGAAAGAUGGUGAACUAUGCCUGAGCGGGGCGAAGCCAGAGGAAACUCUGGUGGAGGGUGGAAGCGAUACUGACGUGCAAAUCGUUCGUCUGACUUGGGUAUAGGGGCGAAAGACUAAUCGAACCAUCUAGUAGCUGGUUCCCUCCGAAGUUUCCCUCAGGAUAGCUGGAGCCCAUUACGAGUUCUAUCAGG
rnacentral:ncRNA from 1 species